rnacentral:rRNA from 1 species
CCUACGGGAGGCAGCAGUCGGGAAUAUUGCUCAAUGGAGGAAACUCUGACGCAGUGACGCCGCGUGCAGGAAGAAUGUUUUCGGAUUGGAAAAUGCUUUAUACAGGGGAGUAAAGAGACAUUACCUGUCGAAUAAGCUCCGGCUAACUACGUGCCAGCCGCCGCGGUAAUACGUAGGGAGCAAGCGUUAUCCGGAUUUAUUGGGUUUAAAGGGUGCGUAGACGGAUAAGCAAGUUAGUUGUGAAAUCCCUCGGCUUAACCGAGGAACUGCAACUAAAACUACUUCCCUUGAGUACUGGAGAGGAAAGUGGAAUUCCUAGUGUAGCGGUGAAAUGCGUAGAUAUUAGGAGGAACACCAGUGGCGAAGGCGGCUUACGGGACUGUAACUGACGUUGAGGCUCGAAAGCGUGGGGAGCAAACAGGAUUAGAUACCCCAGUAGUC